GCGAAGGUAGCGCAAUCACUUGUCUUUUAAAUGAAGACCUGUAUGAAUGGCACGACGAGGGCUUAACUGUCUCCUUUUUCCAGUCAAUGAAAUUGAUCUUCCCGUGCAGAAGCGGGAAUAAUAUCAUAAGACGAGAAGACCCUGUGGAGCUUUAGACACUAAAUCAGCCCUUGUCCAAAAUCCCAAUUAAAGGAAUGAACACUAGAGUGAGACCUGAUUUAAUGUCUUCGGUUGGGGCGACCUUGGGGAAAGAAAAAUCCCCCAUGCGGAACGGAAAUACUGUGUUUCCAAAACUAAGAGCGACCACUCAAAGUAUCAAAAAUUUUGACCAACUAUAUGAUCCGGCUUAACGCCGAUCAACGGACCGAGUUACCCCA
rnacentral:rRNA from 1 species